rnacentral:rRNA from 1 species
UACGAAGGGGGCUAGCGUUGCUCGGAAUCACUGGGCGUAAAGGGUGCGUAGGCGGGUCUUUAAGUCAGGGGUGAAAUCCUGGAGCUCAACUCCAGAACUGCCUUUGAUACUGAAGAUCUUGAGUUCGGGAGAGGUGAGUGGAACUGCGAGUGUAGAGGUGAAAUUCGUAGAUAUUCGCAAGAACACCGGUGGCGAAGGCGGCUCUCUGGACCGAUACUGACGCUGAGGCGCGAAAGCGUGGGGAGCGAACAGG